GGAGCCGUCUGGCUCCUUACAUGACAGUGCGCUUAGCCUAUCACCGACAGAGGCGGGACAUCGCUGUGGCCGGCUGUGUUCCUGUGACAGCUAGGCCGUUACCAUAGCAACGGGGGAAUGCUGGAAGGGGUGUAAAAAAGGGGCGAAAGCAUGGCAGGAGAAGAAAAAACUGCAACGCCUGCACCACAACAGUGAACAAACAUGGCCGCAGGUGUGGACAACAGUCAAAAGCAACCAGAAAAACUACUGAACUUUUGUCACAGAAAAGAGGACAGCCCUUAGCCUUGGCAAGGAGGCCAGAAGAAGCAGAAUACCUGCAAGACCAGCUAGUUGUCGCCCACCCGCACAGCCUCGGCUUUUGUGUUUUUGUUUCCCGAUCCCACCUAGGCCAGCUUUAUUGUUCUUUGAAGAUGAUGUAAUAAAGUGAAAUCU